AUAAGCAUUAUACGGCGAAACUGCGAAUGGCUCAUUAUAUAAGUUAUCGUUUAUUUGAUAGCACAUUACUACUUGGAUAACCGUGGUAAUUCUAGAGCUAAUACAUGCUAAAAAUCCCGACUUCGGAAGGGAUGUAUUUAUUAGAUUAAAAACCAAUGCCCUCUGGGCUCUCUGGUGAAUCAUGAUAACUGCUCGAAUCGCAGGGCCUCGUGCCGGCGAUGGUUCAUUCAAAUUUCUUCCCUAUCAACUUUCGAUGUUUGGGUAUUGGCCAAACAUGGUUACAACGGGUAACGGAGGGUUAGGGCUCGACCCCGGAGAAGGAGCCUGAGAGACGGCUACUACAUCCAAGGAAGGCAGCAGGCGCGCAAAUUACCCAAUCCCGACACGGGGAGGUAGUGACAAUAAAUACUGAUACAGGGCUCUUUCGGGUCUUGUAAAUGUAAUGAGUACAAUUUAAAUCCCUUAACAAGGAACGGUUGGAGGCUAAGUCACGUG
rnacentral:rRNA from 2 species